CCUACGGGCGGCAGCAGUGAGGAAUAUUGGUCAAUGGACGCGAGUCUGAACCAGCCAAGUAGCGUGAAGGAUGACUGCCCUAUGGGUUGUAAACUUCUUUUAUAUGGGAAUAAAAUGUUCCACGUGUGGGAUUUUGUAUGUACCAUAUGAAUAAGGAUCGGCUAACUCCGUGCCAGCAGCCGCGGUAAUACGGAGGAUCCGAGCGUUAUCCGGAUUUAUUGGGUUUAAAGGGAGCGUAGGUGGAUUGUUAAGUCAGUUGUGAAAGUUUGCGGCUCAACCGUAAAAUUGCAGUUGAAACUGGCAGUCUUGAGUACAGGAGAGGUGGGCGGAAUUCGUGGUGUAGCGGUGAAAUGCUUAGAUAUCACGAAGAACUCCGAUUGCGAAGGCAGCUUACUGGACUGCAACUGACACUGAGGCUCGAAAGUGUGGGUAUCAAACAGGAUUAGAUACCCGGGUAGUC
rnacentral:rRNA from 1 species